GAACCCCAGCUGCAAGUGAGACUGGAAAAAUGGCUCUCAGAGUUCCCGCCUCUGCAGUAGAGGAAGACACUCCAGAAGGAGUUGAGAAUGGGUGCUGAGUGCCUCUUCAGGAUGUCUGUCACACCUCAGGAAACCUGCCAGGAAUACCAAAGGGAGUGAAAAAUCCAAGGUUGGGAAGCCCUGGGACAUUGAAGUUACAACUGGACGAUAAAAACAGAGUUUUUUCCUUGUGACGUGACCACUGUGAUGUAAAGCUGUAUCUCCUUCAUUUCAUCAAGAAAUUCUUAAAAUUCUCCCCCAACGUGCUUUCAUCUUUCCCUUCAUUGCCAACUCUGUAAGAAGUACCACGCCUUUUCUUUGAAUCUGAUUCUCCUCCAAGAAGCAAUGCUUCUCUGAGGCUUUCACCUUUGCUCACAUCAAAGCCCCCACACUGAAUAAAUACCAUCCUUACAUGCCCUUCCAGAGACUCCACUAAUGGACGAGCUUCAUCCAGCAAAAGAUAACUGGGGAAACUUCAGCAAAAGGACUGUUGAUGAAAAUUUGCUGUAUUUGAUUAUAUAGCUAAGACUAAAACAGGGAACAUGGUUGGAAUUAUACUAAGUAAAUAUGAUAUGUUCUCACAAAGUAGAAAGAAUGCAACUAACUAAUAUAGAAGAAGAGGGAAAGUAAAAUAGUAUUGUUUACAAUUUUAUAGGUAUUGGGUGUGAGUUAAAUUAUACCACUUAAAAUGAACAGAACAGACAGUAAAAAGUGAAGUAAGAAAAAAGGACAGAGGUAUCAUAAAAGAUACAAAUUCAGAGGUAUUGAAAUACUUAUGCAUCAAAACAACUAUGGCAAAAUUUUACUGAUUCAGUAUUAUGCCUAUGAAAAUUAUUCAGUUCAGUGAUUUGGAGAAGAGGGUAAAGAAAUGUUUACACAUCAGAAUCUGUGGAGGGGAGAAUGUGUGUCUGGAAAGAAAAUGGUAUUUUGUCUCAUUGGUUUGAUUUGUUUUUAGUUAUAAUAUUUCAUCUAUUUUGAAUUUUAUAAAAAUAACAGUAAUGUAUGUGAUUUUUAUGCUGAUGAAGAGAAAAUGGAUUCAAAAAGGUUAAGAAACACUAAUCCAAGGGAGCCUCCAGAAUAAUUGUGGCCAUCUGAAUUUGAACCUCCUCACAGAACCCUUAAAUUCAACAGGAGCACAAGAUAAUCACCCAUGGUCCAUGCCUUCAGCGUUAGUGGAAGAUGGAGGAUACCGCAAAUGUUAAGUGACCAAUAAGUAGAGAAACAAACACCAUAUUCCCAAUGAACUCCCAUCACUUAUACCCACUGUAAGCUGUGUGCAGAGAGUGGGAGAGAGAAGACUUAAAAUCCCCAGGAAAAAGAGGAAAGAGGCAGAGAAAACUUAGACAUAGCAUAAACAAAAUCACCUCCAGAAAGUAAAAGUUUCACUGCUAAGUGACACAUUCACAGCACAGUUAAAGGGAAGGGGAUUGAAAAUAAGCAGAACCAGAAGUAGCAGCUUCAAAGGAGCAUUGCUUCUUGGGGAGAAUCACAUAAACUAAGAAACAGUAGUGCUCCUUAGAGACUUGAUAGUGAUGAGAAAGAAGGAGCUAAGAGGGAAAAAUAGAGGAUCUUGCAGAAAUUAGAGAGAAAUAAGACAUAAUGGCCCACUAUCCCAUUACUACCCAUUUCUGCACUGCACUGACAGGAGAGGAUAUUCCUGAAUUAAGAACCUGUCCAAAAAAUUUUAAAAUAAAUUUUAAAAAGCAACCUAAUUCCAAAAAGAGCUACUAUUAGAAGAACACAUACACACACAAAUGCGAAUCAUUACAGUUUAACUGAUGAGAAUUCUUAACCAAAACCAACCAAAGAGCAGAAGAAAACUGUAACCCAACAUUCCAAACUGAAGUAGUUAUCUUCAAACAAUGGGACGUAUUUAGAAAAAAAAAAAAACCCAGAAACAGAAAUUUGAUAACUAAGGCCAUAGUGGGCACAAAAUAGGAAGACAUGCAAUGAGUUGAUUGAGCUAUGGAAUGAAAUUCAAGAAAAAUACAAAAUCAUUUCAAAAAUGAAGAAUAGAUUACAAGGUAGUGAGGGAUAGUAGAUUUGAACAUUGAACAAUUUCAACAUUGAAAAGGGGCAGUAAAAUAACGAAGGGAAUAAAGAAGGAUGUAAACAGGGUUAAACACAAGUGAUUGGAAUGGAGGAUGGGCAAAUAGGAUCCAACAUACAUAUGAUAGGAGCUCCUGGAGAAGAAAAACAAAGCAAUGGAAUGGAACUGUAAUUCAAGAAAACUUUCCAGAAAGAAGAGAAAAUAUAAUGAAUACUUGUCAUUGAAAUUAGGGCCCACCUGGAUAAUCCAUGAUGAUCUCAUCUCAAGAUCCUUAACUUAAUGACAUCUGCAGAGACUGGUUUAUCAAAUAAGGGACUGUGGCUAUAUCGCUGACCUCAAGAAAACCUGCGGACAAAAUCUGCUAAAGAAGUAUCAGCAUCUAUUUCAAAAGUUAGCCAUUAUUUUAAGAAGACUGUGCUGGAAGACGGGUAUUUAACACAAACAGAUGCAAAAGGUACAUUUACGUGUCACUGUGAAGCAGUGAUGGCUCCUUAUUUAAUCAGACAUCUGCUCUUCCAAGUGCAUUUUUUCUGCUUGCAAUAGUGGCUCCCAGGGAAGGGGUGGGGGUACUGAUGGGCCUGACGGUGGGUGGAAAAACCCAGGCCUUCUGUGUGCCAUGCAGCAAUGUUCAGCAAUGUAAAAAAUGAGGCCUUUUCCUAUUAAGGAAAUCAACCCAGGUAAGUCAGGUUUAUCUGAAAGUCUUUGUGCUGAGAGAGGGGUUACAUGUGGAGGAUUUCAUGGCCAGAAAUGAGAGGAAAGGGUUUCUAGCUGACCCAGUAGGCGGGGGUGGGGGGUGGUAUUCUUGUUUUCUUUUGGAAGGGACAGGGUCUCACUCUGUCACCCAGGCUGGAGUGCAGUGGCGCCAUCUCGACUCACUGCAACCUUCGCCUCCCAAGCUCAAGCAAUCCUUCGACCUCAGCCUCCAGAGUAGCUGGGAUUACAGAUGCACGCUACCAUGCCCGGUUAAUUUUUGUAUUUUUUGUAGAUACGGGGUUUCACCGUGUUGACCAGACUGAUUUUGAACUUCUGGGCUCAAUCAGUCCACCUGCCUCGGCCUCCCAAAGUGCUGAGAUUAUAGGUGUGAGCCCCUGCGCCUGGCCAGGGAUGCCGUUCUUCACUCUCCAGUUGGUUUCCCUCCAAGCUGGGAUUUGAACUCUCUUAUCUCCAGGGUUAGGGUUGCAGACGGAGUUGUAAGGACAGAAAGGGAAGAGGAAUACACACAUUUUUAGCUGACGGACUUGGCCCCAGCUUUGCAGGCUAACUGAAACUCCCAAGGCCUUGAGAUUUUUGAAAACUGCCAUAUUUCCUCUAGUUGAAGACUCAUUUUAUAUUUUUUCACAUGUUAACAUUUAUGAAAUUGGGAUGUGUAAUGUACGCCCUGUCAAAAAAUUUUCCAGCAGCCAUUUAGAGGAGUGACACGUCCACGUGGCCUACCUGGCCUGUGGCCACACCUCCUUAGCCAGCUUCGUGGAAGUAUCUGUUCAUCCAUUUUGUCACUUUGUUUUGUUAUUUUCAUUGGUGGCACAGCACACUGUUAACUUAGAUUCAUGUCCCUAAUUGCCACUGAAAGUGUCUUUCACAAAGAUAACUCUGCUUUACAGCAUUGGAGCAAAAGUCACCAUGCGUGCAAAAGAUUGCCUGGCACAUGCCAGGCAUUAGGCAUCGCCCCCACUGCACAGAGUAAAUGACACACUUUUCAAAGCAAGGGGAAAUUGGUAUGACUACUUCAUGCACCAUUAAAAAAAAAAACUAUUAUUCAGGCUCCAAAAUCUUUAAAAGCUUCUAGUGAUUUUCAAAAGAAGCUGCUUAAUGUUUAUCUUUAAAAUAAGGAAAAACAGAAUUAUAAGUUUGGCCAAAGAGGAAAUGCCAAUAAACCACUAGGAUUCUCUAUGAUGCCCUCAAAUUACAUUGUCAAUCUUAAGUGUGCUGACGAGGCCAAGCUCAUAAGCAUGGCCGGAAACUGGCAUUCUCCAUACCGCUGUGAGUAACUGUGGGUGUCCAAAAUCAUGUGGAAGAGUAUUUAGUCUCUGAUAAUGAAACAGGCCAGAGUUAAACUUUGGUAAUGAAAGCAGCAUAUAAUGGCAUGGAUAAGUGAAUUCUAAAGUCAUUUAAGAAGACACACAGUAAGAUGUGCCUCUCUCUCUCUCUCUCUCUCUCUCUCUUUCUCUGUCUCUUCCUUUCUUUUCCUCCCGUUUUUCUUUCUUUUUUUUUGGCGGGGGACAGAGUUUCAUUCUUGUUGCUCAGGCUGGAGUUCAAUGGCACGAUCUUGGCUCACCGCAACCUCUGCCUACUGGAUUCAAGUGAUUCUCCUGCCUCAGCCUCCCGAGUAGCUGGGAUUACAGGCAUGUGCCACCACGCCCGGCUAAUUUUGUAUUUUUAGUAGAGACGGGGUUUCUCCAUGUUGGUCAGCCUGGUCUUGAACUCUUGACCUCAGGUGAUCCACCUGCCUCAGCCUCCCAAAGUGCUGGGAUUACAGGCGUGAGCCACCGCGCCAGGCCCCUCCCUUCUUUGUUUCUAAUCUCUCUUCCUUCCUUCUUUUCUUUCUUUCUCCCACUGAAAUGCUGCUAUUAAAUUGAUAGAGUAUCUUAUAAUUGAUGGUAUCUUGGAAUUGGGGAAAUAGAGUGUUUGUCAGGCUGCUUGACUUAGCAGCUGAGGGUUGAAGGGAUGGAGAUAAUUUCAAAUCAGCGAGAUUACUGGAUUUCUUUUUAAAAGGUGCUGGUGAGAUAGAAUCACCAUAACAGAGUCAAGCGCAGAUAAAAAAGAUCAGCAAAGGCCAGAUUCCCUCAACUUAUUUUGAAUGGAUGGAGAAAUGGUGAAUCUUCGGUUUGUGAGUAUGACCAGUGGGUCAUAUGGGCAGAAAAGCAAGCGGCAGUCUCAAAAGCAGAGGGCAUUUAGAAUCCAAGGUUCAAGCUGGAAGAGAUCUUGGUCACCUCCUUGUUGAAUGCCUUAAUUGAAUGGAUGAGGAAAAUGGGCUCAUAUGGCAGAAAUAAUCUGUAGAGCUAGGACAGGAUCCUAGGUGUCCAGCCCCCUGUUCUAUGGAUUUUCAUUUGGAGAAGUCAGUCAUGUACCUGCCUCAGGGCCUUUGCACCUCUUUUCUCUUUGCCCAGAUCAUUCUUCCCCUAAAUAGCCACAUGGCUUUCUUCCUCAUCUCCUUCAAGUUUUUGCUUAAAUUUCAGUUUGUCAGUGAGGUCUUCUCUGACCAUUUAGACCAGAAUAUGCCAUCUUAAAAUAUGAGUAUGGAAGACAAGAAUAUGCCACCCCAAAAUAUGCUUCUUGGGCAUAAGGAUUAUUUUGAGCUGAUUAUUUUGAGAAACUGCAGACACAGGAGUUCUAAUCUGAAAACAGAUCCCUGUGCAGGGGAAAUCUAUACCUAUCACGGAAGUCUCUGCUUGUAAGAGUGUCUCCCUCUCAGUAUCAGGGCAAGAAGGAUGCGUGGAAGUCACUGGAGACUUUUGUCAAUGAAGCAGGUGCUGACUUAAUUCUCCAAAACAAACCUUACCCUUGUCUACCCUGAGUUUCCUGUUGACUUCCCCACAGCACUCCAACCAGCAAUGAAGGAGAUCUGAGGUCUCGGCAUCCUCAUUCACACCUGGUAUUGCCAGUUCUUUCUUUUUAAUGUUAGCCAUUCUCAUAGGUGUUUGUAUUUUCAACUUACACUUCCUUAAUUACUGAUGAUGUUGAUCUUUUCAUGUUUAAUAGGGUGGAAACAAAGUUAAACAGAUUUCUCUACGGCAGCAGGACUCAGAGCUUUUUUGAAUUGUCUGACGGGCAGAUUGCUGGGAAUUCUUUUUCUAUGGUCAAGUAAAGAUUACAAGGCUAGAAUUCCAGCGAAGCUAUUUUGGCAAAUACUGACCUACAUGAUUGAAGGGGUCCAGAAUAUGCCACCCCAAAAUAUGCCACUUUGACAUACGGCUUAUUUUGGGCUGCAAGCGAUUGAAAAUGAGCAGAUGCAGGAUGAAUCCUCUGCUCUCUUUUUCUACCUGAAACCAGGGCGUAACAUUCCCUUUGUGGAAGGUGUUCCUCGACUCCCAUAGCAGGAAGUGUAGAGCAACUCUUACCAUCAAAGAUGGACAGUCAGCAUUGAGAUGAGUCUGCAUAAACAAACUUUUUUUUUUAAAGUUUGUUCCAUUAAUCUCCCCCAUGUAUUUGCUAGUCACUUU
rnacentral:lncRNA from 1 species